GACGAACGCUGGCGGCGUGCUUAACACAUGCAAGUCGAGCGGUAAGGCCCUUUCGGGGGUACACGAGCGGCGAACGGGUGAGUAACACGUGGGUGACCUGCCCUCAGCUCUGGGAUAAGCCUGGGAAACCGGGUCUAAUACUGGAUAUGACUCCAUGACGCAUGUUGUGGGUGAAAGCCUUGUGCGGCUGAGGAUGGGCCCGCGGCCUAUCAGCUUGGUUGGUGGGGUNANGGCCUACCAAGGCGACGACGGGUAGCCGGCCUGAGAGGGCGACCGGCCACACUGGGACUGAGACACGGCCAGACUCCUACGGGAGCAGCAGUGGGGAAUCUUGCGCAAGUGGGCGAAAGCCUGACGCAGCGACG
rnacentral:rRNA from 1 species